UACAAUCCUACAGGAGGUAAAAGACUAUCGUGAAGACUUCCAAAAAAACAAGAACUUAACUAAAGGCGACAAAAUGCACCACCACUCUGAGUCUGCCCAGCCCAUGGCUGAGUGUCUAAAGAGAUUAUGCUGCACCACUUGCAGGGACACAAAGAUGAAAAAUGAUGGCGGGAGAGGUUGACUGGGGCUCCUCAGAGCUCUGAGAAGAAUAGCUUUGUUCUCUUGACCCAGACCUGGGUUCUUCUUUGGGUCAGGAGUUACGUCUGUGGCCAUGAGCUGAUGGUGUUUAUGAGGGUGACGAGAUGGCAUCUCCUUUAGCUCAUCCUCAAACGCAAAGGAGGUGAAGUGACAGUUGUGCAGCUGUAUAACUGAGGCAACUCAAGCUAGAUGACACCCCGGCACUUGAACACUUGACCGGCGUUUAACUGCUACCAAGUGUCAGCUCUGGUCAACAUAAGGUCAUCUAGGAAAUGGAGCAAUCUUGACUGUCGAAAGAUGCACUCCAUUACAGCAUCUAAAUGAGUCAGAAACAAGCCUGUCAGUGGGAGAUGUCCUGUAUUACGUACACAUGCCUUAUACUCAGCUGAUAUAAUGGUUUGAACUGUUGACAUGCAGAUGAAAUUUUAAAUAAAAAAUAUUCAUAAGA